rnacentral:rRNA from 1 species
UACAGAGGGUGCGAGCGUUAAUCGGAAUUACUGGGCGUAAAGCGUGCGUAGACGGUUAUUUAAGUCGGGUGUGAAAGCCCCAGGCUCAACCUGGGAAUUGCAUUCGAGACUGAAUAGCUAGGGUACGGUAGAGGGAAGUGGAAUUUCCGGUGUAGCGGUGAAAUGCGUAGAUAUCGGAAGGAACAUCAGUGGCGAAAGCGACUUCCUGGACCAGUACCGACGUCAGGCACGAAAGCGUGGGGAGCAAACAGG